UACGUAGGGCGCAAGCGUUGUCCGGAAUUAUUGGGCGUAAAGAGCUCGUAGGCGGCUUGUCGCGUCUGUUGUGAAAGCCCGGGGCUUAACCCCGGGUCCUGCAGUGGAUACGGGCAGGCUAGAGGGCAGGUAGGGAGAACGGAAGUUCCCGGUGUAGCGGUGAAAUGCGCAGAUAUCGGGAGGAACACCGGUGGCGAAGGCGGUCUCUGG
rnacentral:rRNA from 1 species